CUCCCACCCGGAAGCUGUGACCUAGGACGACGUGUUCUUAUCAGUGUAAUUACUGGUAUUGGUUCAUCGAAUCAAUCAAUUAAUUACUCUUAUCUUUACAAUGCCCUCAGCCAUAACCUGGCUUGCCAGACUGGCUGAGACGAUGGCCUUGGGCUCACACUACUCCCUAGUGCUGUCAGGCGAU
rnacentral:snRNA from 1 species